rnacentral:rRNA from 1 species
AUGAACGCUGGCGGCAUGCCUAAUACAUGCAAGUCGAACGAGAGGAAGGAAAGCUUGCUUUUCUGAAUCUAGUGGCGAACGGGUGAGUAACACGUAGGUAACCUGCCCAUGUGCCCGGGAUAACUUCUGGAAACGGAUGCUAAAACCGGAUAGGUAGCAGACAAGCAUUUGACUGCUAUUAAAGUGGCUAAGGCCAUGAACAUGGAUGGACCUGCGGUGCAUUAGCUAGUUGGUGAGGUAACGGCCCACCAAGGCGACGAUGCAUAGCCGGCCUGAGAGGGCGGACGGCCACAUUGGGACUGAGACACGGCCCAAACUCCUACGGGAGGCAGCAGUAGGGAAUUUUCGUCAAUGGGGGGAACCCUGAACGAGCAAUGCCGCGUGAGUGAAGAAGGUCUUCGGAUCGUAAAGCUCUGUUGUAAGAGAAAAACGACAUUCAUAGGGAAUGAUGAGUGAGUGAUGGUAUCUUACCAGAAAGUCACGGCUAACUACGUGCCAGCAGCCGCGGUAAUACGUAGGUGGCGAGCGUUAUCCGGAAUGAUUGGGCGUAAAGGGUGCGUAGGUGGCAGAACAAGUCUGGAGUAAAAGGUAUGGGCUCAACCCGUACUGGCUCUGGAAACUGUUCAGCUAGAGAACAGAAGAGGACGGCGGAACUCCAUGUGUAGCGGUAAAAUGCGUAGAUAUAUGGAAGAACACCGGUGGCGAAGGCGGCCGUCUGGUCUGUUGCUGACACUGAAGCACGAAAGCGUGGGGAGCAAAUAGGAUUAGAUACCCUAGUAGUCCACGCCGUAAACGAUGAGAACUAGGUGUUGGGGGAAUAACUCAGUGCCGCAGUUAACGCAAUAAGUUCUCCGCCUGGGGAGUAUGCACGCAAGUGUGAAACUCAAAGGAAUUGACGGGGGCCCGCACAAGCGGUGG